GAAUAAUUAUGAGUCGGAAACCAGAAAAUAAACUAUCAAUCAAUCAAUUAAGAUGCUCUGAAUACGAUAACAUGGCCCCAUAACCCAAACCCAAGACUGUCUCCUCCACUCCAAUAAAUGGCUCCAUAUAUAGUUAUCGUUAAAAUGGUUAGUUAUUGGCGUUUCUUGGGAAUAAUUAUGAGUCGGAAACCUAUAAGAUGCUCUGAGUACGAUAACAUGUGCAAGUAUCAGCUGUUCGGGCAGUCAGCUGUUCUUGCCCGACCACGUGGAGAAUGGCGUCAAGGGAAGCAACCUUUCAACUUUAAUUUUAACCCUUUUUAAAUCACCGGUAAGCCCUUCCUAUGUUCUCCUGAAGGCCACAGAUGUUCCUCCUUCACUUGUGGACUUACUGGUGUUCCUGGCGUCACAUCCACCCAUCAUCCAGCCUCUGCAGCACACUGAAGGGGAGAGCACAGCCAUUCCCUGACACUAAGAGCAGCAGAAGGGAAGGAUGCCUUAAGUUAACAAGGUGUGGGGAAGCUGCUCACCAAGAUAAGAUGGCAGAGUGAGAUCCUGACAGUAAGAAGUAAAGCCCUGAAGGACAGGUAACCCAUAAGGAAACAAGACAGAAUGAGACAUUGUAACCCAACACCUGUCAGUCCAGUAUUGACAACCCCAAUGACACAUUAAAAACAAAAUAACUGACUGUAAAAUUAAUAAUCUCA